rnacentral:misc_RNA from 1 species
AUCUCAUAUUUCUUAAUAUGUUGAAAUGAAUAGAUCAGACUGAAAAAAAAAUUGAACGGAAUAAUACGAAGGCACAUGAAACUCUAAUCUUUCUUGUGUUAUAAUCGCAGAAUUUGGCUUAAGCGGCCGAAAUUGUUCCAUUCUUCUAAGACAAUUUCCUAAUUAUCCUAUUAAUAUACUCCGCUGUUUCAUUGUCUUCAUUCUCUUGGCCUAUUGUGCACAUUCCUGCCAAAAUCACUGCUAUCGGCAGAUUAUAAUCAACGGAUUACUAGUUUUCAUUCGAGUGUGCCUGAUUUGCGAGAUUAAAGAGGAUAAUAAAUAAGGCAAGACCAAACUCAGUAAAUACACGAUUAGAUUGAACUAGUAAAUUACAACUGAUAUCAAGUGCUUGUUAAAUUGUCAACUGGAUUUGUUUAAAACAUUUCCUGAUAAAAGUAGCCUCUUUUCUCAGAUAAUGUAUCUUGAUUGAGAUAGUAUGUCUUGAUGAACAACACAGUAUCUUUCAAGUCUUCUCGAACGCAAGUAUGUUUUUGUAAAGCUUUUACGCGGAGUGUGCCGAAUUUUCACAUUACACCGCUUUAAUGUUCGAUUAGUGGCAGAUAAACGGGAAAGUGAUAAGCGUUUAAAUUUUAGAGAAGCACGUGUAGAAAUCAACCACAAUGAACAAAUUUUUACUUUCCAUAUUAAAACAUAAACUUAUAAUAAUAACAUUGGUUGGUGUGACUAUUGGAAUAUCGGUUGGUGUAUGUCUGAAGCACUACAGCGGAAUAUCAUGGUCCCAGCGAAAUCUCAUGUACAUCAAAUUUCCUGGAGAAAUAUUUCUCAGAAUAGUGAAUUGUUUAAUAUUACCGCUUGUCACGUCCAGUAUCAUAAGUGCUACUUGCAAUCUCACAAAAUCUGGACCGAUUGGGUUGAUGGCGUUAUACUAUUAUCUAACGACCACUACGAUUGGAAUAACUUUGUGUGUCAUACUUGUUGAGACUAUCCGGCCGGGCGAUUUAUUGAGAAAUGAAGAUGUUAGUCCACCAUCAUCUACAAGGAUGUUUAUGACAAUGGAUACGAUUCUGGAUUUGUUUCGUAAUUUACUUCCUGAAAAUAUAGUACAAGCAUGCUUCUAUCAGUAUCAAACUGCUCUACAAAUGCCAAGCAAUGGAUCUGCAGUACCGAUAGAAGAAUGGAAGAUAACCAGCGAAUAUGUAACAGGAACAAAUGUCUUGGGCUUAGUAUUUUACAGUUUAUUAAUCGGUGUGGCAAUUGGAAAUAUAGGUGCAAAUGGAAAACUACUAUCAGAGUUUUUCACUUGCUUAUCUGAAGUCAUGAUGACGAUUAUGAAAUGGAUAACAUGGCUAGCGCCAAUAGCCGCAGCAUUUCUUAUUGCCGGUCGAAUUCUGGAAAUUGACGAUUUUGGUAAUAUAAUAAGCCAUUUAGGAUUUUAUAUCCUAACGGUAACUCUUGGAUUGGUGCUGCAAGGUUUUGUGAUACUACCUUUUCUUCAUUGGACCCUCACGCGUAAAUCACCUUACAGAAUUAUAUCCAAACUUGGCCCGUCCUUUGCAACAGCCAUCGGAACAUCGUCAAGUACCGCCACAGUUCCAUAUACAAUAAAGUGUUUGGAGACUAUGGGAAUAAAUUCCAAAAUAACGAAGUUUAUUAUACCGAUCGGAGCAGCGAUAAAUAUGGACGGAAUAGCACUGUAUGAAACAAUUGGAGCGAUAUUUAUUAUACAAUUACUAUUACGUGCACAGUAUCAUGCGUGGGAGCUGCUGGCAUACCCAGCGGCGGUUAUAUGAUGUUGAUAAUGGUGUUAAAUUCUAUCGGAGUGCCUGUUGAAGAUAUUACAUUAAUUAUCGCUGUUGAUUGGUUUGUCGAUCGUUUCAGAACAACAAUCAACGUUAUAGGUGACGCGCUUGGCGCGAGCAUUAUAUCUCACUUUUGUAAAAAGAAGAAGCUGGAAGAAG